GCCUGCUGGACCCGCCGGCGCUUGGGCGUCCGGUGACCUGCGGGCAGGGGCGCGGUGCCCGGCGUCCGCGCCCGUUGGGCAGCGAUUUGCUGCGUAUGAGGAAUAACAACUGUGUUUCGUGGUUUUUGUUUGGUUACAGCAAAAAUAGCGCACGCUUUUCGAGGAAACUGAAAAAUACAGGACUAAAAAUCACCUUUCAUCCCAACACCUGGAGAGAUGCGCAGGUCCAGGAGAAAACGUGGGAGACUUUUCACUACAGGAGCCCGAUCAGUUCUUGGUCCAUAAUGGGUAUAUGGUCCCUGUGCAAAAAAAUGGCCAUACCAGUAUCUUUCAUAUGGCACCAAGGAUGGGCCUGGAAGUUGAAGACAAUGUGAGCUUGUUGAUGGAGGUGGAUACAGUUAGCAGGAAAGAGGUUGUCCAGCCAUUUGAGGACAUCUCCAGAGUUCCUAGAGCCAAGAGUCGCAAGAGAAAUACCUCAUCUCUCCCCCAGUCCUCCAUAAUUGUAUUCACGCCUUCAUUUUUAACAGCUUUAUUGAGAUAUAUUUCACAUAUCAAUUUACCCAUUUAGCGUAUACAAUUCAUAAACACAUGAAUUAUCACUACAGUAAAUUUUAGAACGUUUUUAUCACAUUAGAAAGAAAUCCCAUACCCGUUAGCUACUAUCUCUCUAUCCACUCCCUGCCCCUUCCUCAGCCCUAAGCAACCACUGAUCUACUUUUUGUCUAUAGAUUUCCCUGCUUGGGACACUUCAUAUGAAUGAAAUCAUAUAAUAUGUGUCUUUUAUGACUGGCUUCUUUCACUUAGCAUCAUAUUUUCAACACUUAUGCAUGAUGAAGCCUUUAUUGGUACUUCAUGCUUUUCUUACAGCUGACUAAUGUUCUAUUGUAUAGAUAUAUGACAUUUUUAACCAUUUGUCAUUUGAUGGACAUUUGGAUUAUUUCUGCAUUUUGGCAAUUAGGAAUAAUGCUGCUAUAAAUACUGUUUGCAAGUUUUCAUGUGGACAUAUGUUUUCAUUUUUCUUGGGUAUAUACCUAGGGAGUGGAAUUGCUGGGUCAUACGGUAACUCUCUUUAAUUGUUUGAGGAACUGCCAGAUUGAGGUCAUGGUCUUUUAAUUAACUUAAAAAUUAUACCUGUUCUUUGAAAAAUAUUUUAAAAUAACAAAAAAUUUUGUAAAAGAUUUUAUUUAUUCAUUUGAAAGAGAGAGCACAAGUACGGAGAGAGGCAGAGGGAAAGGGAGAAGCAGACUCCCAGCUGAGCCGGGAGCCUGACAUGGGGCUCGAUUCCAGGACCUGGAGAUCAUGAUCUGAGCUGAAGGCAGAUGCCCAACCACCUGAGCCACCCCAGCGCCCCAAAAUACCAAAAAUUUUGAGGAUAGAAACAUUUAAUUCCACUACUUAGAGAAUAUCCUUGUGGGAUACUUUUCUGUGCAUAUUGUUUUUAAUGGGACCACACUUGGCAUGAUAUUUUGUAGCCCAUAUUGUGAUCAUCUUUUCAUGUCAAUGAUUAUUUCCAUCAGUGAGUUUCAAACUUAUUUUACUCUAGGAACCCCUUCUUCAAAAGACCAUUUUCCAAAAGCCCAAUAUAUAAUCACUCAGAUAUCAACAAUUACUAAUUACCUGGCACCCCUGCCAGGUGCCAAGCAUCCCUGCCUGCCCCCAUGCCUGUUCUCUUUAAAAGUUGCAGGUAUUACAAACUAUAGAGGAGUCACCUCAUUAGCUGCUCCCCUAUAAGAACACCCAGCUUGCUCUCUGUGUUUCAUUGCUAUUAACGGUGACUCAAGGAACAUACAUCUGUGUGUACUUUUAUCAUCUUUUUAAGAGAAAUCCCUAGAGGUGCCUGGGUGGCUCAGUCAGUUAAGCAUCUGCCUUUGGCUCAGGUCAUGAUCCCAGGGUCCUAGGAUUGAGCCAGGUGUCCUCCGUGGGCUCCCUGCUCAGCGGGGGGGGGGUUGUCCGCCUCUCGCUCUCCUUCUGCCCCUUCCCCCACUUGCAAGCUCUCUCUCUCUCACUCUCUCUCUCUGUCAAAUAAAUAAAAUAUUAAAAGAGAGAGAGAGAGAAAU
rnacentral:lncRNA from 1 species